rnacentral:rRNA from 1 species
ACUCCUACGGGAGGCAGCAGUGGGGAAUAUUGCACAAUGGGCGCAAGCCUGAUGCAGCAACGCCGCGUGAGGGACGACGGCCUUCGGGUUGUAAACCUCUUUUAGUAGGGAAGAAGCGAAAGUGACGGUACCUGCAGAAAAAGCACCGGCUAACUACGUGCCAGCAGCCGCGGUAAUACGUAGGAUGCAAGCGUUAUCCGGAAUUAUUGGGCGUAAAGAGCUCGUAGGCGGUUUGUCGCGUCUGCUGUGAAAACUGGAGGCUCAACCUCCAGCCUGCAGUGGGUACGGGCAGACUAGAGUGCGGUAGGGGAGAUUGGAAUUCCUGGUGUAGCGGUGGAAUGCGCAGAUAUCAGGAGGAACACCGAUGGCGAAGGCAGAUCUCUGGGCCGUAACUGACGCUGAGGAGCGAAAGCAUGGGGAGCGAACAGGAUUAGAUACCCUGGUAGUCCAUGCCGUAAACGUUGGGAACUAGAUGUAGGGUCCAUUCCACGGAUUCUGUGUCGCAGCUAACGCAUUAAGUUCCCCGCCUGGGGAGUACGGCCGCAAGGCUAAAACUCAAAGGAAUUGACGGGGGCCCGCACAAGCGGCGGAGCAUGCGGAUUAAUUCGAUGCAACGCGAAGAACCUUACCAAGGCUUGACAUAUACCGGAAAAGUUCAGAAAUGUUCUCCCCGCAAGGUCGGUAUACAGGUGGUGCAUGGUUGUCGUCAGCUCGUGUCGUGAGAUGUUGGGUUAAGUCCCGCAACGAGCGCAACCCUCGUUCUAUGUUGCCAGCACGUAAUGGUGGGAACUCAUAGGAGACUGCCGGGGUCAACUCGGA